AGAAGCUACCCUCCUUAGCUAGCACUUAAAAGAAAAGGAGAAAAAAAGAAAGAGGUGCUGAAUUCACAUUAAAUGGAUCCAAACUUGUCUUCCAGUUUCAUGUAUCCAACUAGAAGUUGACACAAAAGGAAACAGUAAAUGGAAAUUGAAUUAAUUACACAAUGUGGACUGUUGAAACCUCUUCCUUGCUCUCUCCAAUUUUUCUAUGGUCCCCAAAUUUUCCACGGUGAGAAUCCAAACUUCAAUCUUGAAAUCUCUAUCCACAGUGAGAAUCCAGACUUCAAAAUCAGACCAACUGCAGGGAACAUUUAUGCAGGAUAUUUGGACUAAAUUCUCAUUCACUUUUUUCAACAUGACCAGGGAUUUGAAUUACAUCAUCUUUUCUUCUUCAUGUUGUGGCAAAUUUGGAAGAGCCGUAACCUGCUAUCUUUUUAGCAUUAGAGUCUUCCUUUAAAUGAAGUAAUUGCCAAAGCCUUGAAUCAUCAUGAUGAAUUCUUCGCGUUACAACACUAGCAUUUUCCUUUGCACCCAGCUUCGAUACCAUCUGCUCCGCAUUUCAUUCCUCCUCCAAGGGAGGUGAUAAAAAUCAACUUUGACACAUCAAUCAACAAACAUGCUAAAUGUGGAGGAGUGGCUACCAUCGCCAGAGAUCACUCAAACCAAGUAUGUGGAUGGUCUUGCAUAAGAUACCCAGCUAUUUUUGAUCCCCUUGUUUUGGAAUCGCUGGCAUGCAGAGAGGCUUUGUUACUAGCAAAGGUUAAGCGCUUCUCAAAAGUCAUAAUUGAAGGAAAUUGCGAAGAGAUAAUUAAGCUUCUAAAGGGAGAAAGUAUAUUGACUCCAUUAGAGAUUCAUGAUGUUCUCAAUGAUGUUAAACUUCUCUCUGCUAACUGCACAGAGGUCUCCUUUUCUUAUGUUCAUAGAUCAUGUAAUCAAGCUGUACACUGUUUAGCUG
rnacentral:misc_RNA from 1 species